AUGGUGGAAGACCCAGGCUUCUCCUUUACAAAAAACUGUGCUGUGCCUGAGGCUGACAGAAGAAAACACCACCAUGAACUUGAUAAAGCAUUUUGUUGGAUGACAGCACUUCUGCAGUCCUUGGGGCAGAUCAAAUCUCAGCCCAGCCGUGUGAGUGGCCUGGUGCACACAGUGCAGAACAGGUUAAGAUGGUUUAUCAGCUACUGGAUCUGCCACUUCUUCAGUCACCUUUUAAAGGAGCAGUUACUGAUCCCCCAUCACAUCAGUGAAAUUUAUGAGAGGAGGAGCAAAGAGAAGAGUAAUGCCACAUCUUGAGGGAAAGGAGGUGACAUUUGUCUGAAAGGCUGGCUUUAUUUUGGAAAUGGCAGCUGUUUGGAACUGUUGACAGAUUGGGAGUGUUAGAAAUUGUCCCAGGCCAGAUGGAUUACUGAUCUGGGUCCAGGUGAAUAGGUCAGAGGCACUUUAUAAAUGAUGGCAUCUAUUCCCACGUAGCUAUCACCACCACAGAGUAGUAUAGGUAACAGUUAUUUUUAUAACAUGUAAUUGAGUUAUUUUGGAGCAGUCCCACACAGGUCAGGGGUAUGUACUUUUUUAUCAUCUUCCUCCCCUUUUGCUGCUGCAAUUGCAGUAACUUGAGACAUUUCUAGUACUAUUCCUAAUUGAAUUAGGAUGGGCUGAAGGCAAGAUAUCUAGGGAGGGGUGGUAGAGAAAUAGCUCUUUCAGUCAGGAAAUCACAUUCAAUCUUUUUCUUUCUGUUAUUUCCUGUGAUCUGAAUACAUUGAUCGGUUUCAGAGUCAUGUUGCAAGAAUUUUUUUCAAGGAACAGGAAUGACUCAACCAAAUAAGAACUUGAAAAGGUAAAAAACAAGGAUUUUCAUGUAUUUGUG
rnacentral:lncRNA from 12 species